GACGAACGCUGGCGGCGUGCUUAACACAUGCAAGUCGAACGGAAAGGCCCUGCUUUUGUGGGGUGCUCGAGUGGCGAACGGGAGAGUAACACGUGAGUAACCUGCCCUUGACUUUGGGAUAACUUCAGGAAACUGGGGCUAAUACCGGAUAGGAGCUCCUGCUGCAUGGUGGGGGUUGGAAAGUUUCGGCGGUUGGGGAUGGACUCGCGGCUUAUCAGCUUGUUGGUGGGGUAGUGGCUUACCAAGGCUUUGACGGGUAGCCGGCCUGAGAGGGUGACCGGCCACCUUGGGACUGAGAUACGGCCCAGACUCCUACGGGAGGCAGCAGUGGGGAAUAUUGCACAAUGGGCGGAAGCCUGAUGCAGCAACGCCGCGUGCGGGAUGACGGCCUUCGGGUUGUAAACCGCUUUCGCCUGUGACGAAGCGUGAGUGACGGUAAUGGGUAAAGAAGCACCGGCUAACUACGUG
rnacentral:rRNA from 1 species